CCUUGUUGGAGUGGCUGUCGCAUGAAUUCUUUGGAGACUUCUGGAGAAAACAGAAAGAAACUGAAACGGAAUGAAUGAAUGAAUUAAUGAGUGAAUGAAUCAGCUUUGUUAUCACCACUUCUGCAGGGGACCCUAUUGAUGUGAUUAAGAAGCUCUACCAGCACUGGAUAAAACACUCUGCCUUUAUUUUCACUUCUUCACUUUCGGCACAUAUCUGAAAAAGUACCAGAAAAAAAAUGAUCCAUCAAAAAAUAAGAAAUGGGAAGGUGAAAGUAUGUCUCUCCCUCUAAAGGAGCUGGAUGAAAACCUAUGGUAAUUGUGGCCUGGAAGUAAACAGAUAAAGAUUAACGUUACAAGAUGGGAGAUCAAAAUGAUCCAAUCAAGGUGACCCAAGAUUAACCACCACAUCUUGAUUCCAGAAAGGAGACAAAAUUGUAUUUUCUGACUUCCUUUCAAUGAGUCAGUUCAUGUGUAGAAUAUAGCAUUGUCCUCCAACUACACUACUCCACUGAAUUAAAAUCAGUUCAAAAGGUCUCUGCAGUAUCCCUUCCCUAUGCGUAAACUGUUCUUCUACAAGCUGUUUUUUUUUCUUUUCCUUCAUUUUUUCAUCACAUUGUUAAAC